UGCCAGCAUCCGCGGUACUACGGAUUGUGCAAGCGUUGUUCGGAAUUACUGGGCGUAAAGCGCACGUAGGCGGAUUAGUAAGUUAGGGGUGAAAUCCCGGGGCUCAACCCCGGAACUGCCUCUAAUACUGCUAGUCUUGAGUAUGGGAGAGGGCAGUGGAAUUUCCGGUGUAGCGGUGAAAUGCGUAGAGAUCGGAAGGAACACCAGUGGCGAAGGCGGCUGCCUGGCCCAAUACUGACACUGAGGCACGAAAGCGUGGGUAGCAAACAGGAUUAGAUA
rnacentral:rRNA from 1 species